UGUACAAGAAGUAGGCUAAACGUCGAGGGUUAGGAAUUACCAUUGUGGAUGAAAUGACUGGCAAGAUAGCAAGAAUAGGGAUUCAUGUUCUUACCACCUUUUAUGUUUAUAAUGCUUAAUAUUUUAUGAUGUUUAAUGGAUUCUAUGUGGUCAAUAUUAUCUCUUGGACAACAGAAUAAGGGUUCAUGUUCUUACCACCUUUUAUGUUUAUAAUGUUUAAUAUUUUCUGAUGUUUAAUGAAUUCUAUGUGUUCAAUAUUAUCUCUUGGACAACAGUUGAUUGUCGUUUCUACUCCCUUUGUAUGAUAAAUUUUUUUAAUAAAAGGUAGUGUCAAUUCCGAACCAAUACUUUAUGCCUCUCUACUAAACCUUUUUAGACGACGUCACAUGUUAGUAAGUUGAAACAUAAGGCAAAUUGUUUUUUGGAAUGAUAUCUUACAUGAUUUUAUUAUCAAUUGCUAUUUGUUUCCUUGCAUAUAUAAUGCGUGCUCUUGUCUUGAAAUAUGAAAACCAAAAUCCUCUAUUGUAUUUAAACAAUAACUUCCAUUCCUUCAUUAUAAUACAAUGCCUCAAUUUUUUUUUGCUAUAAUUUCUACAUUUGUUUUGUUGAGAAUUUUCUUUAAUUGCUUUAGUUUCUUUGUACUGUGCUGCCAUUAAAAUGGGUGCAAUUCAUUCUGGUGGUUGCAUUCUAAUGUUUAGCCCAUUGUUCUUUAAUCCUCUGAUCUGGAUAAUAUGUUUAACUAUCAUGCUGUAUUUGGAGGGGGUUUGGAUCUUUUAUUUACAUUUUUGGGUUUUGUGUAAAAUGGUCAUAGAAAAUGGGGAGAAAAAUGAAUUGCCAAGCUUCAGAUAGUUCAGCUGUGAGGAGCUGAAAUCUGCUACAAAUGACUUUUCUUCUGAGACCAUUAUUUCAGAGCAUGGGUAGAAGGCUUCCAAAGUAGUGUACAAAGGAUUUCUUGAAAAUCGUCAAUGGAUUGCUAUCAAGCACUUCAAUAAGUCUAAUUGACAUGAUUUUUACUAUUCUUUGUUAGUAUUUAGUGUUUACUAUUUUCUUAUCAAUCAGAAGAUCGUCAUUAAUUUCGUGUUAUUGUUUUUUGGUCGGUUAUUAUAGCAUGAAGCCAAGGCAGUGGGGAACCUGAGAAGUGAGCAAUUGUUAAUUUGAUAAGUUGUUGCUAUGAGGAAGGGGCAAGACUACUUGUAGCAGAAUUUAUGCCUAACGAAAUUCUGGCAAAACAUUUAUUUCAUUUAGAGUUUUGUAUAUAUGUAUAUUACUAUUACAGAAUUACUGCAAUUUACAUUACAUCUCGGUCGUGGAUAUUUUUCGAAUAAAUAGAACACUGAAUAUGUGUGGAGCCUAAUCAUAUUGUAUAGGUAGUAGAAAUUUAUGUCUUAGUUUAUUUUCUGAUUGCAUUCUUUUUCAGAAAGCUUAGUCACUAAAAUAAAAUAAUGGUAAAUUUGAUCAUGUAUACAUAUGCAGUCAUUUCUCAUAUGCACACUGAUUUUGAGAUCUAAUUUGAUUUAGUGAAGUGUUCUUGGAUAUAUCCCAUGCUUUCUAGGCCAAAUUGGUUUUGUAUGGAUAGUGUUCUAAUAUAUUUUAGUGGUUAUAUUGGUAUAGAGAAGCAACCCAUGAAAUGAGAACUGAGGUUGUGGGUGGCUCUGUAUUUGGCACAACCUCUAGACUACUGCAGUAGUCGUGGACAGACAUUGUACCACGAUCUUAAUGCUUACAGAGUCUUGUUUGAUAAGGUAAAAUUUGCAAUAUGUAAGUUAAGAUUUUCCUUCCAAAACUGAAUGUUUUGUGGUCUUCUAUUCAUUCACUAGCCAUACAGGAUGGGAAUCCUCUGCUCUCCUGCUUUGUCCAGAUGAAGAAUAGUCGAGAUGGCUAAAGUUACAGUACAAACUUAGCUUUCACUCCUCCAGAGUUCUCGAGAACUGGUAUAUAAUUGUGAUUUCUCUAUGAAGUGGUAAUAUUGCCCUACGAAUCUCUCAGUACAUGUGAAGUUGGAUACCAAGGUUACGAAGAUGCUCGACAAAUUACACUUGUAAUUUGCAUGCACAUCUGCACAAUUAGUGUUCUUCUUGAACUACUGUAUUAAGUUAUGGAAUAAACUACUUUGUACAAAUAAGAAAUGAUAUUAUAUAUGCAGCUACGUAAGUUUAACUUUUGGUAAUUUAUCUUCGAUGUUUGGCACGAAGAAUGACUUCAGAAAGUGUAGUUUAAGCUUUAUAACAAUGCUACUAGAUCUUCUAAGUGGCAAGCAUAUAGCCCCAAGCCAUGUGAGUUCAUAAUUCAUUGAAAAGUCCUCUGAUAUUCAAAUGUUCGGGUCAUCUUAUGCUUGCACCCGUUGAAUUCGCAAGAAGAUUUGAAAGUUUAUGAUACUUUCAUACCCGACAAGUUGAACUAUUCUUCUCCACUUGCGUUAUUAAUUCUCUCUUGUAUAUGUUGUAG
rnacentral:lncRNA from 1 species